rnacentral:rRNA from 1 species
CGAGCGGAACCGAAAGGGGAGCUUGCUCCUUUAGGUUAGCGGCGGACGGGUGAGUAACACGUGGGCAACCUGCCUUGCAGACUGGGAUAACUUCGGGAAACCGGAGCUAAUACCGGAUAACACCGAAAACCGCAUGGUUUUCGGUUGAAAGGCGGCUUUUAGCUGUCACUGCAGGAUGGGCCCGCGGCGCAUUAGCUAGUUGGUGAGGUAACGGCUCACCAAGGCGACGAUGCGUAGCCGACCUGAGAGGGUGACCGGCCACACUGGGACUGAGACACGGCCCAGACUCCUACGGGAGGCAGCAGUAGGGAAUCUUCCGCAAUGGACGAAAGUCUGACGGAGCAACGCCGCGUGAGCGAAGAAGGUCUUCGGAUCGUAAAGCUCUGCUGUCAGGGAAGAACAAGUUCCGUUCGAACGGGCGGUACCUUGACGGUACCUGACGAGGAAGCCUCCCUCCUACGUGCCAGCAGCCGCGGUAAUA